AUGACUCUUGACCUUGGCCUCUUUGGC
rnacentral:piRNA from 1 species